GUGCCCCUGGACGGCGCCGGGCGCGCCGUCCGCUGGGCGCGGGCCGCGGCGGACGCCGAGCGCGCCCGCCUGGCGUUCGGCGAGGCGGGCGCGCACC
rnacentral:tRNA from 1 species